GGAUUGCGGUCGACGGAUACAACAGGAAUUUCGUCUGUCUCAAAUGCAAAUCCGAUCAGAAGGUCAUCGAGAGGAAAAUUCGUCUCCGCGCAGGGUGAUAUCAUAAGCGUGGGCUCCGACACGAGCAAUUGUAAAUUGAUUCAAUAGACGUAAGCCAGAAAUUAAAAUCCACAAAAAUCGCGUCCCGUAAAGACUGGGUAAACAUGAAACACAAGCAAGGCCUACAUACUCACAUGUUGGACGAGAAUCACUGGAGGUGGCCGCAAUCAAUCGCGCCAUGUACCGCGUGUUGAACCUCAUUUUAAUUAUUGGUGCUGUGCGAACCGUUGUCUCAUUUGACGGGACGCCAGAGUCAAAACCAGCCGUUGUCUCACCUGACUCACAGUCAAAGUCAAAGCCAGAAGAAGGCGUGAAGCCAGAAGAAGGCGUACAGCCUAAAGAAAGCGUACAGCCAAGAGAACGGGUACAGCAACAGGAAGAGAUACAGCUACCGCCCAAAUGGGUGGGAACGAAAGAGCACACUGAGUGCAAAAACCAAUUCGGCUACGUUAUGAAGCCUCUAAGGGGAGUAGUCUACAUCGGAGUCCCUUACUGGUCCAAAACCCAGCAGAGAUGGUGUUGCACUUUGAACGUUGAUGAAUUGAGACCGAUCCUGAGGCAGUAUGGAAUUAACUGGGGAGAAUUCGAGGGUCAACAUCUACGGACGUACGACGGAAAGUACGGGAGACAGUAUUUGAAGGAGCAUGGCGUCAGUGUAGGCCUUCCAAAUUUUAACAUUGCAAAAAUGGAGAAGGACUACAAAAAGGAGUUACGAAAAGAGUUGGGCUCCACGAGUGAGUCUAGUGGGCGGUUUAGCAGCAACCGCCACGGAUCCUCGAGCUCCAUGUCCGCGGGGAAUUCGAAGAGAGUCGGCUCUUCGGGUUCGUGGUUCAAUAGCAAGAGAACAGGAACCUCACUCCCGAGGGCGCCGAGCAGGGACUCCUCCACCGACUCCGAUAGUAGUGAGGAAAGCAAGACAUCCGAGACACCCAAAUCGUCGAAAAAGUGGUGGUCGUUCAAGAAACAGAAGGCGGAUUCACCCGGGAAAGGAGAUUUAUCCAAGGGAGGCGAGGGCAGCUUGGGCGCUUCCAAGGGUUCGUCUAAAGGAUCGUCCAAUCGGUCUGGGAACCCGACCCCCGAGGCGCUGAGUAGACAAAACUCCAUGGGCUCGAAUGCGUCCUCGCAGCCUGGAUCCCCGAACCCCGAGGCGCUGAGGAGGCAAAACUCGGAUUCUUCCUUUGAGUGGGCGCAAGUAGGGGAAGGUGUGACGAGGCAAAACUCCAUGGCAUCGGAUUCUUCCUCCGAGUCGGCGCAAGGGCAAGGUGGACCGAGCAGGGAGGGUAGCUUCAGGGAAGAUGGAGCUGGCAGGGGAGGCAACUUGGAAAGAGCUGAAUCCAGCAUGGCAGCCAGUGACAGGAAAGCUGAAUCUACGGAAGGGAAAACCUACACGAAGGAGCAGAAAGAGUGCACAAAUCACUGCAACACAGUUCAGGGCUACAUCGUCAUAAACCCCGGCUACUCCCGCAUCGCCAUUACCAAAGGCAUCCUGUCCGAGUUCGGGAAGAAAUGCGAGUGCAAGUUGAAUCUCGCCGACACCAAAGCAUUUUUAGAGAAACGUAGUUUGGACCCCGCCGAGUUCUUCGACGCUUUUGAAAAGGAUGCUGAAGGCGUGGCGGGCAGGCAAUGGUUGACUAGCAAAGGGUUCACGGUUGAUUUCCGCAAGACUUUGGAACAAAGAUUCAAUGAGCAGGACGCGCUAAGCCCCGGUGAAAUAACGCCCGCCUAGUCCACAACAGUGCCGUUGCAACUUGGGUUGCACCAGACAACAUAUCUACUUGAAGGCAAAUGGGCCUAUUGCAAACUUUUGCUAGAGCAAAUAUAAGCGUUGUUUCUAUCAGUAAAUGUCUCUAAAUUACAGUGAGCGCAUUGGCAAAGUUUGAAAUGCACUCCUAACUUCACAAUCUGCGUAAAAAAUUUGCGUUUUCUUUUUAUCUUCCCGCUUCAAAAACGAUACUACAGUACACAUUAGUAGAUCGUUAGAGAAGGCGUCCCAUUCAACCCUAUCGCAAUUGCAAUGCCCA
rnacentral:lncRNA from 1 species